UUCAAUGUUCCUGUUUCCUGUCAGCUCUGUGUUCGGUCUUGUUUUCCUGCCUGUCUGUGUACCUGUUUUUUUGUUUUUGGUUAUUAAAUCUCGUUACUGCAUUUGGAUCCUCACUCGCCUUUGCCUUGCUGUGACAAUGUUAGGCUUGGCACACCUCAAGGCAACAAACGAUUAGCGCACUUUCACAGUCCGGCUCACAGAAAGUGACACAGGAAUUGUGCUUUUCCUGUUAGUCUCUGAUGCAACAUCUUGAGUUCUAGGAAACACUUACAAGCUACAGGCACACCUGAAGGCCUUCAGCUGUUGGAUUUUUCCUGAUUCGUUCCUGAUGUGUUGUAUUUGUAACUAACAGCGCUGAAAAGGAGCAGGCGGGUGAUAUAUAUCAGGUUUAAUACUGUAUGACAUGGGAACAAAUGGCUCAAGGACAUGGAUCUGGAGCAGAUCUGGGUUUAGAGGAAUGUGAGAAGUUUAUGUAUUGAAAACUAAUACUAUGCAUUUCCAGUUUGUUUAGGAGAAAUUUGAUCAAUGCAUUUUAUAAUUGCAUUUUAUAAUAGUGUGGAGUUUUUCAAUAAAAUCUCUACACAUUAAAGAGAAAGUGGUAAAAAUCAGUAGGAUAAUGAUGUUAGAAUAAUACCUGUUCGCUUAAGAAUUUCUUUUCAUUGACCUUUAUGAAACUUUGUAUUCAGAUCAGGUCUAUCAGAUCAGGUCAAUCAGGUCUGUUCAAUUUGAUUGGCUCGGUUUUAGGGACUACAGUAUUUUUUAAUCGGAUUUUCAUCCUGGAAAUGCAUCAAAGUUUUGUGGUUGUCUUUAUUGAUAUUGCUGAUUUUUAAGCAUAGAAGCCAAACAUAUUCUUGACUCAAUAUAGAAAUGCUUUCAGCGAGGACCUGUUUUAUUUCAUCUGAUUUCAAUGAAUGGUUGUCAAAACCACAGAAAUUGUAUGACAGUGCCCAUAAAGCUGCAUAUGACUGAUCUGUAAAUGUUAAAAACAUAUAAUGAAGAUCUGUGGGAUAGCGAUGAGAAAUGAUGUCUAAGCCAAAACUCUGUCAGAUAAAAUUUAUGUCAUUAUGGUUUUACCACAUGAUAAAAUCAACAGAAUUCUGUCACUGUCAGAAAUCUGACACAUUUUUAUAUAAAUAUAAAACCCAAAAGCUUUGUAAUUGAAAUAAAAUUCAAGUUUUAAGAACAGAAUAUGAUGUAAAUCUUUGGGU